UCACUAAAAUGUGAAUUAAUAAAAUACAAGACUUCAGAAAAUGCAAAAAACAGUGUCAACAAACUGGGAUAGGCAAUAUGGAUGUUAUCCUUGCCAUUUGCCAAAGCUUGGAGCCAAAAAAACACCCCCAUCAGGACCAGAACCAUCCCCCUCUGCUCUUCCUGCCCAGGCAAUCUACAUGUUAAGUACAAAGGAAGCAGUACUUCCAAAAGGCACCAUAAAACCCUCUGUUAAUAUAAAAGAAUGGGAGAUUUCUUUUUAUAUAAUUUCUAUAAAGAAUGUGUCAGUUUCCUUUUGAGAGUGUUUGCCUUUCAUAAAUACUCAAUUUUAAAUCAAAAAAAAAUCCUAAAGGGUUGUAUUGAGAAAAUCAUAAGAUAGAACAUCAAAGAUAAACUGCAUAUAAAAACUAUCUAUAAAUUCUAGUAAGGUAAAAAUUUGAAUUUUUCAAACUUGAAUGGACAGAGUUUCAACUUCAAAAGGAUCCUUCAUUUCAGCAUAACAUUCUGCUAUGACACAGUACAUUAUUUCAGCUUUACUAAAAGAAUAUUUGACUAAAAAUCACCACGAAAUUAAACUGUGGGCAGACUGAGUCAGUGCCAUUUCGUAUUAAUUCAGGACACAGGGAAGUGCUUCUUCUCAGGGUUCUUGCCGUUGCCAAGCCUGCUGCUCUUGGCAGCAGCAUCUCCAGCUAAUGUGAAAUUAAUUUUAAAAUAAUUUAAGAGUGGUGGGCAAACUUGGUGGUACCAGCCAUUGCACCUUGCAGCCAUUGAGACAGAGGCUGCUGCUUAUUUUCUCACACGGCAGCUGUGAAUAAAGGCCAGCUGGCCUUGAGAGAGCGCCUCCCUUACCACCACCUUGGCCUGGCUCUUUACAAAAACACCUCCAGAGCUCAUAACCAUCAACCGCCCUUCAGGCUUGCACAUGAAGCUCUGGUGUGAAGUGUUGGCACAUGACUGAAAUGCUUUUUGCAUAAUAAUUACCAACGAUUUGCUGUGCCUAAACCCAGACAGCUGCAGGGACCGGCCCGCCUCUGCCCAGCCCUGUGCUGCAAGCGUCACCCACAAGGAGGAGCCCCAUCUACAAAUAAUUCAUGAAGAGAAAAGACCAGAGUUCUUUCUUAGUGGUACCCAGGUUGAACAGAUUAGCAGAGAAUCACUGCUUGAUAAAAGAAUCAGUGUUGGUUUUUUUUCAGCUAAACUCCCAUCAGAAAGAAGAUUCAGCAGCUAGAGGAUGUUUGCCUAAUUACAUUAUCCCAACUUUUCCCAAUUACAUGGAGAACAGAUGUUUUGUGACUGAAAACAAACCCAAAGGGAAGGAACAUCAAAGACCAACUGCCUACAACAAGAGCCUACAAAAUCAAUUUUUUUUUUCUUAAACUCACUUACUUACAAUGCCAAACAUGUUUUGCCCAGGCAGGAAGGUGUGAUUAAGUGAAACUUCUUCCUUGGGGACUGCAGGAUGAUGCUGAAAGAAAACAACAAAGACACAAGUACCUUCAACAGAUUGUUUUAAUAAAGUUGAUGAAAUGCUGAAUUUCUACAUUCUAAUGAAAAUGCCCUGCUAUGAUACUGGCUGGGAGGUCAACCAGGACACAAGCAAUCUGGGUGUGAAGGAACACGAUUCAGGAUGGGAACAGUUCCAGGCGUGGAGAGAAGUGUGCAGCAAUUGACGGGACUUUGUUGU